CCCAAGGAUCCCUGCCUUCCUGUUCAUCCCUGGAUUGUUAACUUUGUCACCAAGAUCAUUAGCAUCAGUCUCUGGGAUGGAGGACCAGGUGGGAGCCUUUCUAAGGUCCAGGCCUCACUGAAUGGGAGGACCCAGGGCAGGCAGAUCCUGCUUCCAACACGGGAUUCCGAUCAAUAAGUUGGGGCCCCAAGCUUCUUCAGGAAAACAGUUUUUAUUUGUGCUAGCAGAUUCAUCCAAACUUCUGUUUCAAAGAACCAAGCCCCAAAGGCUCACUAGACGGAGCCUUUUGGAUUUUGCGUCUUUGUCUCCCAUACAUGGAAGGGAAACUAAUCACCCCACAUCAUCCCCAAGACUUGUGAACGACUGCUCUUUCUGUACUGAGUACUCACAGAUGUGGAAACAGACCCACAGGGAACUCACGGGGCUAUCGGCAAUAGAGGCACCAUCAGUCCCAGCACCAAGUCCCAUCAGGGAAG
rnacentral:lncRNA from 1 species